rnacentral:lncRNA from 1 species
UGAUAGUGAGUGGUUGGAUGAAUGAUUUCUGUAGACAGGUCACUAGAUAGUAGUUAAGUAAAUUAUUUGAGUUUUAGGUCAUAUUAGAGGAACUAAGGUAAUCAUAUUGAGAGUUAGGUACUACAGGCUGUUCUAGUUAGUUUGGGUGGUGUAGGUAGGUCAACUGGGACCUAAUUGGAUCCCUAAAGUGGUCAAAAACAAACACAAAGUUGUAGAACUAGAGUUAGGUCUCUAGGUU